rnacentral:tRNA from 1 species
GUAUGUGUAGUUUAAGUAAAAUGUAGGAUUGUGAUUCCUAAAAUGCAGGGUAACCGCCUGUCACUUACC